rnacentral:rRNA from 1 species
GCAUAUCAAUAAGCGGAGGAAAAGAAACUAACAAGGAUUCCCCUAGUAACUGCGAGUGAAGCGGGAAAAGCUCAAAUUUAAAAUCUGGCGGUCUUUGGCUGUCCGAGUUGUAAUCUAGAGAAGUGUUAUCCGCGCUGGACCGUGUACAAGUCUCCUGGAAUGGAGCGUCAUAGAGGGUGAGAAUCCCGUCUUUGACACGGACUGCCAGGGCUUUGUGAUGCGCUCUCAAAGAGUCGAGUUGUUUGGGAAUGCAGCUCAAAAUGGGUGGUAAAUUCCAUCUAAAGCUAAAUAUUGGCGAGAGACCGAUAGCGAACAAGUACCGUGAGGGAAAGAUGAAAAGAACUUUGGAAAGAGAGUUAAACAGUACGUGAAAUUGCUGAAAGGGAAACGCUUGAAGUCAGUCGCGUUGGCCGGGGAUCAACCUUGCUUUUGCUGGGCGUACUUUCCGGUCGACGGGUCAGCAUCAAUUUUGACCGUUGGAUAAAGGCUGAGGGAAUGUGGCUCCUUCGGGAGUGUUAUAGCCCUUGGUCGCAUACAACGAUUGGGAUUGAGGAACUCAGCACGCCGCAAGGCCGGGUACUUGUACCACGUUCGUGCUUAGGAUGCUGGCAUAAUGGCUUUAAUCGACCCGUCUUGAAACACGGACCAAGGAGUCUAACAUGCCUGCGAGUGUUUGGGUGGAAAACCCGAGCGCGUAAUGAAAGUGAAAGUUGAGAUCCCUGUCGCGGGGAGCAUCGACGCCCGGACCAGACCUUUUGUGACGGAUCCGCGGUAGAGCAUGUAUGUUGGGACCCGAAAGAUGGUGAACUAUGCCUGAAUAGGGUGAAGCCAGAGGAAACUCUGGUGGAGGCUCGUAGCGAUUCUGACGUGCAAAUCGAUCGUCAAAUUUGGGUAUAGGGGCGAAAGACUAAUCGAACCAUCUAGUAGCUGGUCUGCG